UCCGUCUUGGCCGACCCCGCGACAUGACGCGUGUGAGAUGCAUAAUUACGCAUUUGAGUCGCGAACAAACGAGCCAUUUCCUCACUCGCCGGACAAUUACACUUUAGUGGUCCUAUUUCUUGCAUACGCCAGCCCGUUGCAUUUUGGCCAAGACGUGAUGCAAAAAAAAUAUUCAAAAGGUUUCCGACCAAUUUGCGUCGCAGCAGAGAGUAUUGGCAGUCUACAGGUGGGCCAUCGACAAACAUUAAGCCAAUUACGACCGAGAAAUAAUAAAGAGCUCAAAACAGCUUCUGUGACGAGCACCACUUCUUGAUGUACAAUAUUGCAACAGUUGGAGCAGAGUGUUGUUAGCUUGGGCGAUUAAGCCGAAAUUUACUGCCCGGCAAAACGAUCCGAGACAUUAAAACCAUCACUUUGCACACUCAUGUUUCCG